AACGAACGCUGGCGGCAUGCCUAAUACAUGCAAGUCGAACGAGAUCUUCGGAUCUAGUGGCGCACGGGUGCGUAACGCGUGGGAAUCUGCCCUUGGGUUCGGAAUAACUUCUGGAAACGGAAGCUAAUACCGGAUGAUGACGUAAGUCCAAAGAUUUAUCGCCCAAGGAUGAGCCCGCGUAGGAUUAGGUAGUUGGUGAGGUAAAGGCUCACCAAGCCGACGAUCCUUAGCUGGUCUGAGAGGAUGAUCAGCCACACUGGGACUGAGACACGGCCCAGACUCCGACGGGAGGCAGCAGUAGGGAAUAUUGGACAAUGGGCGAAAGCCUGAUCCAGCAAUGCCGCGUGAGUGAUGAAGGCCUUAGGGUUGUAAAGCUCUUUUACCCGGGAUGAUAAUGACAGUACCGGGAGAAUAAGCUCCGGCUAACUCCGUG
rnacentral:rRNA from 1 species